rnacentral:rRNA from 1 species
AGAGUUUGAUCCUGGCUCAGGAAGAACGCUGGCGGCGUGCCUAAUACAUGCAAGUAGAACGCUGAAGAGAGGAGCUUGCUCUUCUUGGAUGAGUUGCGAACGGGUGAGUAACGCGUAGGUAACCUGCCUUGUAGCGGGGGAUAACUAUUGGAAACGAUAGCUAAUACCGCAUAACAAUGGAUGACACAUGUCAUUUAUUUGAAAGGGGCAAUUGCUCCACUACAAGAUGGACCUGCGUUGUAUUAGCUAGUAGGAGAGGUAACGGCUCACCUAGGCGACGAUACAUAGCCGACCUGAGAGGGUGAUCGGCCACACUGGGACUGAGACACGGCCCAGACUCCUACGGGAGGCAGCAGUAGGGAAUCUUCGGCAAUGGGGGCAACCCUGACUGAGCAACGCCGCGUGAGUGAAGAAGGUUUUCGGAUCGUAAAGCUCUGUUGUAAGUCAAGAACGAGUGUGAGAGUGGAAAGUUCACACUGUGACGGUAGCUUACCAGAAAGGGACGGCUAACUACGUGCCAGCAGCCGCGGUAAUACGUAGGUCCCGAGCGUUGUCCGGAUUUAUUGGGCGUAGAGCGAGCGCAGGCGGUUUGAUAAGUCUGAAGUUAAAGGCUGUGGCUCAACCAUAGUUCGCUUUGGAAACUGUCAAACUUGAGUGCAGAAGGGGAGAGUGGAAUUCCAUGUGUAGCGGUGAAAUGCGUAGAUAUAUGGAGGAACACCGGUGGCGAAAGCGGCUCUCUGGUCUGUAACUGACGCUGAGGCUCGAAAGCGUGGGGAGCGAACAGGAUUAGAUACCCUGGUAGUCCACGCCGUAAACGAUGAGUGCUAGGUGUUGGAUCCUUUCCGGGAUUCAGUGCCGCAGCUAACGCAUUAAGCACUCCGCCUGGGGAGUACGACCGCAAGGUUGAAACUCAAAGGAAUUGACGGGGGCCCGCACAAGCGGUGGAGCAUGUGGUUUAAUUCGAAGCAACGCGAAGAACCUUACCAGGUCUUGACAUCCCGAUGCUAUUUCUAGAGAUAGAAAGUUACUUCGGUACAUCGGUGACAGGUGGUGCAUGGUUGUCGUCAGCUCGUGUCGUGAGAUGUUGGGUUAAGUCCCGCAACGAGCGCAACCCCUAUUGUUAGUUGCCAUCAUUCAGUUGGGCACUCUAGCGAGACUGCCGGUAAUAAACCGGAGGAAGGUGGGGAUGACGUCAAAUCAUCAUGCCCCUUAUGACCUGGGCUACACACGUGCUACAAUGGUUGGUACAACGAGUUGCGGGUCGGUGACGGCAAGCUAAUCUCUUAAAGCCAAUCUCAGUUCGGAUUGUAGGCUGCAACUCGCCUACAUGAAGUCGGAAUCGCUAGUAAUCGCGGAUCAGCACGCCGCGGUGAAUACGUUCCCGGGCCUUGUACACACCGCCCGUCACACCUCGAGAGUUUGUAACACCCGAAGUCGGUGAGGUAACCUUUUGGAGCCAGCCGCCUAAGGUGGGAUAGAUGAUUGGGGUGAAGUCGUAACAAGGUA